UCGAGAAUCUUCGGCAAUGGGCGCAAGCCUGACCGAGCGACGCCGCGUGGAGGAUGAAGGCCUUCGGGUUGUAAACUCCUGUCGAGGGGGAAAAAGGCCCCGCAAGGGGCUUGAUUGAUCCCUGGAGGAAGCACGGGCUAAGUUCGUGCCAGCAGCCGCGGUAAGACGAACCGUGCGAACGUUAUUCGGAAUCACUGGGCUUAAAGCGCGUGUAGGCGGAUGAGCACGUCUGUCGCUGAAAUCCCCCGGCUCAACCGGGGAACGGGCGGAGAUACGGCUCAUCUGGAGGGGCGUAGGGGGACCUGGAACUUCCGGUGGAGCGGUGAAAUGCGUUGAGAUCGGAAGGAACGCCCGUGGCGAAAGCGAGGUCCUGGACGCCUACUGACGCUGAGACGCGAAAGCCAGGGGAGCGAACG
rnacentral:rRNA from 1 species